rnacentral:tRNA from 1 species
CGGGGCGUGGCGCAGCCUGGUAGCGCACCAGUCUGGGGGACUGGUGGUCGGAGGUUCAAAUCCUCUCGCCCCGACCA